rnacentral:rRNA from 1 species
GGACUACCCGGGUAUCUAAUCCUGUUUGAUCCCCACGCUUUCGCGCCUCAGCGUCAAUGUAGGUCCAGUUGGCCGCCUUCGCCACGGGUGUUCUUCCCAAUAUCUACGAAUUUCACCUCUACACUGGGAAUUCCGCCAACCUCUACCUAAUUCAAGCAAGGCAGUCUUGAGUGCAAUUCCAGGGUUGAGCCCUGGGCUUUCACACCCAACUUGCCAAGCCGCCUACGCGCCCUUUACGCCCAGUAAUUCCGAACAACGCUAGCUCCCUUCGUAUUACCGCGGCGGCUGGCAC